UACGGGGGGGCAAGCGUUGUUCGGAAUUACUGGGCGUAAAGGGCUCGUAGGCGGCCAACUAAGUCGGAUGUGAAAUCCCCAGGCUUAACCUGGGAACUGCAUCCGAUACUGGAUGGCUUGAAUCCGGGAGAGGGAUGCGGAAUUCCAGGUGUAGCGGUGAAAUGCGCAGAUAUCAGGAAGAACACCCGUGGCUAAGGCGGCUCUCUAGUACGGUACUGACGCUGAGACGCGAAAGCGUGGGGAGCGAACAGG
rnacentral:rRNA from 1 species